rnacentral:rRNA from 1 species
GAUGAACGCUAGCUACAGGCUUAACACAUGCAAGUCGAGGGGCAGCAUGGUCUUAGCUUGCUAAGACUGAUGGCGACCGGCGCACGGGUGAGUAACACGUAUCCAACCUGCCUUAUACUCCCGGACAGCCUUCUGAAAGGAAGAUUAAUACGGGAUGGUAUCACGAGCCAGCAUUUUCUCGUGAUUAAAGAACUUCGGUAUAAGAUGGGGAUGCGUUCCAUUAGAUAGUAGGCGGGGUAACGGCCCACCUAGUCGACGAUGGAUAGGGGUUCUGAGAGGAAGGUCCCCCACAUUGGAACUGAGACACGGUCCAAACUCCUACGGGAGGCAGCAGUGAGGAAUAUUGGUCAAUGGGCGCGAGCCUGAACCAGCCAAGUAGCGUGAAGGAUGACUGCCCUACGGGUUGUAAACUUCUUUUAUAAAGGAAUAAAGUGAGGCACGUGUGCCUUUUUGUAUGUACUUUAUGAAUAAGGAUCGGCUAACUCCGUGCCAGCAGCCGCGGUAAUACGGAGGAUCCGAGCGUUAUCCGGAUUUAUUGGGUUUAAAGGGAGCGUAGAUGGGUUGUUAAGUCAGUUGUGAAAGUUUGCGGCUCAACCGUAAAAUUGCAAUUGAUACUGGCAGCCUUGAGUACAGUUGAGGUAGGCGGAAUUCGUGGUGUAGCGGUGAAAUGCUUAGAUAUCACGAAGAACUCCGAUUGCGAAGGCAGCCUACUAAACUGCCACUGACAUUGAUGCUCGAAAGUGUGGGUAUCAAACAGGAUUAGAUACCCUGGUAGUCCACACGGUAAACGAUGAAUACUUGCUGUUUGCGAUAUACAGCAAGCGGCCAAGCGAAAGCGUUAAGUAUUCCACCUGGGGAGUACGCCGGCAACGGUGAAACUCAAAGGAAUUGACGGGGGCCCGCACAAGCGGAGGAACAUGUGGUUUAAUUCGAUGAUACGCGAGGAACCUUACCCGGGCUUGAAUUGCACUCGAAUAUAGCGGAAACGUUAUAGCUAGCAAUAGCGAGUGUGAAGGUGCUGCAUGGUUGUCGUCAGCUCGUGCCGUGAGGUGUCGGCUUAAGUGCCAUAACGAGCGCAACCCUUGUCUAUAGUUACUAACAGGUCAUGCUGAGGACUCUAUGGAGACUGCCAUCGUAAGAUGUGAGGAAGGUGGGGAUGACGUCAAAUCAGCACGGCCCUUACGUCCGGGGCCACACACGUGUUACAAUGGGGGGUACAGAGGGCCGCUACCACGCAAGUGGAUGCCAAUCCCGAAAGCCUCUCUCAGUUCGGACUGGAGUCUGCAACCCGACUCCACGAAGCUGGAUUCGCUAGUAAUCGCGCAUCAGCCAUGGCGCGGUGAAUACGUUCCCGGGCCUUGUACACACCGCCCGUCAAGCCAUGGGAGCCGGGGGUACCUGAAGUGCGUAACCGCAAGGAGCGCCCUAGGGUAAAACUGGUGACUGGGGC